rnacentral:rRNA from 1 species
UACGUAGGGUGCGAGCGUUAAUCGGAUUUACUGGGCGUAAAGCGUGCGUAGGCGGCUCGUUAAGACAGGUGUGAAAUCCCUGGGCUCAACCUAGGAAUUGCGCUUGUGACUGGCGGGCUCGAGUACGGUAGAGGGGGGUGGAAUUCCUGGUGUAGCAGUGAAAUGCGUAGAGAUCAGGAGGAACACCGGUGGCGAAGGCGGCCCCCUGGGCCUGUACUGACGCUCAUGCACGAAAGCGUGGGGAGCAAACAGG